AACGAUCGCUGGCGGCAGGCUUAACACAUGCAAGUCGAACGCCCCGCAAGGGGAGUGGCAGACGGGUGAGUAACGCGUGGGAACAUACCCUUUUCUACGGAAUAGCUCUUGGAAACUGGAAUUAAUACCGUAUACUCCCUACGGGGGAAAGAUUUAUCGGGGAAGGAUUGGCCCGCGUUGGAUUCGCUAGUUGGUGGGGUAAAGGCCUACCAAUGCGACGAUCCAUGGCUGGUCUAGGAGGAUCAUUAGCCACAUUGGGACUGAGACACGUCCCAAAAUCCUACGGGAGGCACCAGUGGGGAAUAUUGGGCAAUGGGCGGAAUCCUGAUCCAGCCAUGCCGCGUGAGUAAUGAAGGCCUUAGGGUUGUAAAGCUCUUUCACCGAUGAAGAUAAUGACGGUAGUCGGAGAAGAAGCCCCGGCUAACUUCGUGCCAGCAGCCGCCGUAA
rnacentral:rRNA from 1 species